CAGUCGCCGCGGUAAUACGAACCGUGCGAACGUUAUUCGGAAUCACUGGGCUUAAAGCGCGUGUAGGCGGGCCGCCACGUCGGCUGCUGAAAUCCCCCGGCUCAACCGGGGAAGUGGCACCGAUACGAGCGGCCUCGAGGGGGGUAGGGGGGACUGGAACUUCCGGUGGAGCGGUGAAAUGCGUUGAGAUCGGAAGGAACGCCCGUGGCGAAAGCGAGUCCCUGGACCCUUUCUGACGCUGAGACGCGAAAGCCAGGGGAGCGAACGGGAUUAGAUACCCCUGUAGUCCCUGUCUCUUAUA
rnacentral:rRNA from 1 species